AGUGAACGCUGGCGGCGUGCUUAACACAUGCAAGUCGAACGAGAACGGGUUAUAGCUUGCUAUAAUUGUCAGCUAAGUGGCGCACGGGUGAGUAAUGUAUAGGCAAUAUGCCUCUUACUAAGGGAUAACAAAUGGAAACGUUUGCUAAUACCUUAUACUCCUUUUAAACAAAAGUUUAAAGGGAAAGAUUUAUUGGUAAGAGAUUAGCCUGUAUUGUAUCAGUUAGUUGGUGGGGUAAUGGCUUACCAAGACUAUGACACAUAACUGGUUUGAGAGGAUGAUCAGUCACACUGGAACUGAGACACGGUCCAGACUCCUACGGGAGGCAGCAGUGGGGAAUAUUGCACAAUGGACGAAAGUCUGAUGCAGCAACGCCGCGUGGAGGAUGACACAUUUCGGUGCGUAAACUCCUUUUAUAUGAGAAGAUAAUGACGGUAUUAUAUGAAUAAGCACCGGCUAACUCCGUGCCAGCAGCCGCGGUAAUGU
rnacentral:rRNA from 1 species